CGAGGGUGCGAGCGUUAAUCGGAAUUACUGGGCGUAAAGCGCACGUAGGCGGCUUGGUAUGUCGGGUGUGAAAUCCCCGGGCUCAACCUGGGAACUGCAUCCGAAACUGCCUUGCUCGAGUAUGGGAGAGGGAAGCGGAAUUUCCGGUGUAGCGGUGAAAUGCGUAGAUAUCGGAAGGAACAUCAGUGGCGAAGGCGGCUUCCUGGACCAAUACUGACGCUCAGGUGCGAAAGCGUGGGGAGCAAACCGGAUUAGAUACCCGAGUAGUCC
rnacentral:rRNA from 1 species